rnacentral:tRNA from 1 species
GGCGGCAUAGCCAAGUGGUAAGGCCACGGUCUGCAAAACCGUGUUCACUGGUUCGAUUCCAGUUGCCGCCU